rnacentral:rRNA from 1 species
AGUGAACGUUGGCGGCGUGGAUUAGGCAUGCAAGUCGAGCGGGAACCGUAGCAAUACGGGGACAGCGGCGAAAGGGACAGUAAUGUGUAGGUACCUACCCCCGGGUUCGGGAUAGCUGCGGGAAACUGCAGGUAAUACCGAAUAAUGUCUCCGGACCAAAGGUGUGAUUCCACCUGGGGAGGGGCCUGCAUCCUAUUAGCUUGUUGGUGGGGUAACGGCCUACCAAGGCGACGAUGGGUAGCGGGUGUGAGAGCAUGACCCGCGUCAUUGGGACUGAGACACUGCCCAGACACCUACGGGUGGCUGCAGUCGAGAAUCUUCGGCAAUGGGCGCAAGCCUGACCGAGCGACGCCGCGUGCGGGAUGAAGGCCUUCGGGUUGUAAACCGCUGUCGUAGAGGAGGAAAUGCAGGGGGGUUCUCCCCUUUGCUUGACCUAUUCUAGGAGGAAGUACGGGCUAAGUUCGUGCCAGCCGCCGCAGUAA